GUUAACAGUUUUAUCCUGUGGGUUACAUUGUGCGUAAUUCUUCCGGGCAACUUGAAUAUGGCGGGAUCGUGCAUCAUCAAAUCCAAUACAUGUCCCAGAAAUUGAAAUUCACAUAUAAUGUGUUUCUGGCUGCCGAGAAUACGAAUGGAAUCAAACAGAACGGAACUUGGAACGGCUUAAUCGGGGCCCUUAAAAGAGACGAAGCUGAUUUGGGAUUAGCACCAUUUGCUAUUACUUCGGAACGCUAUGAGGCUAUUGACUUCUCCGGAUUAAUAGGCGGAGACUCUACGGGCAUCCUUGUGAAAUACCCACAGGC